rnacentral:misc_RNA from 1 species
GAUGAAGAACGUAGCGAAAUGCGAUACGUAAUGUGAAUUGCAGAAUUCAGUGAAUCAUCGAAUCUUUGAACGCAUAUUGCGCUCUCUGGUAUUCCGGAGAGCAUGCUUGUUUGAGUAUCAGUAAACACCUCAACUCCCCUUUCUUUUUUUGAAAUGGGAGCUGGACUUGAGUGAUCCCAACGCUUUUCUCACCGAAAAGUGGCGGGUUACUUGAAAUGCAGGUGCAGCUGGACUUUUCUCUGAGCUAAAAGCAUAUCUAUUUAGUCUGCCUAAAAGACAGAUUAUUACCUUUGCUGCAGCUAACAUAAAGGAGAUUAGUUCUUGUGCUGACUGAUGCAGGAUUCACAGAGACAGCUUCGGCUGGCCUUUGUAAACUCGAUCUCAAAUCAAGUAAGACUACCCGCUGAACUUAAGCAUAUCAAUAAGCGGAGGA